rnacentral:rRNA from 1 species
UACAGAGGGUGCAAGCGUUAAUCGGAAUUACUGGGCGUACAGCGUGCGUAGACGGUUACAUAAGUCGGGUGUGAAAGCCCCGGGCUCAACCUGGGAAUUGCAUUCGAGACUGCGUAGCUAGGGUGCGGAAGAGGGAAGCGGAAUUUCCGGUGUAGCGGUGAAAUGCGUAGAUAUCGGAAGGAACACCAGUGGCGAAAGCGGCUUCCUGGUCCAGCACCGACGUUCAGGCACGAAAGCGUGGGGAGCAAACAGG